AGUCGUAACAAGGUUUCCGUAGGUGAACCUGCGGAAGGAUCAUUAAAAAAUUGGACUCCAUUGUGAGUUCAUUAAUAAUCCUACCCUUUGUGAAUUUGUUUGUUUGAAUAAUUUUUUUUCCAAAAAAAGUUAUUGAAUGUCUUUCCUUGUUUUGGUGGAGCUUGUAAAGUGAAACCAGGCAGGGGAAUGACAAACAAUAAUUAUUUUUGAAAAGACCUUUUUUUAAAAUUAAACUUUUUGUAUUCAUUUGUCUAAAAUUAAUUUUUAUAAUAUAAAAACAACUUUUGACAAUGGAUCUCUUGGUUCUCGCAACGAUGAAGAACGCAGCAAAAUGCGAUAAGUAGUGUGAAUUGCAGAAUACGUGAAUCAUCGAAUCUUCGAACGCAUAUUGCACUUUUUUAGUUUACUAAAAAGUAUGUCUGUUUGAGUAUCAGUAAAUAUUCUCAUAAAAAACAUUGUUUUUUUUAUGGUUAUGAGUGUUUUACAACGAUAACAAGUUGUUUCACUUUAAAUUCUUGUUAUCAAAAAAUCAUUAAAAGCUAAUUUUAAAGAUUUUUUAAAAUUGGAUAAAAUUUCCCGUAAAAAGGAAUAACCUAAACAAUUUUAAAAAAUUAAAAUUGGUUUGAUUUUUUUGAAACCCAAAGGAAAAAAAACGAAAUUAACUUGAUCUCAAAUCAGAUAAGAGUACCCGCUGAACUUAAGCAUAUCAAUAAGCGGAGGAAAAGAAACUAACUAGGAUUCCCUCAGUAACGGCGAGUGAAGCGGGAAGAGCUCAAAUUUGAGAUCUUCAAGGUUUUACCUUGACGAAUUGUAGUUUAAAGAAGUGUUUUCUGUUGGAGUUUUGGUAAAAGUUCUUUGGAAAAGGACAUCAUAGAGGGUGAGAAUCCCGUAUUUGACCAUUAUUCUCCAGCUGUGUGAUACGCUUUCAAAGAGUCGGAUUGUUUGGGAAUGCAGUCCAAAAUGGGUGGUAAAUUUCAUCUAAAGCUAAAUACUGGCGAGAGACCGAUAGCGAACAAGUACCGUGAGGGAAAGAUGAAAAGAACUUUGAAAAGAGAGUUAAACAGUACGUGAAAUUGUCGAAAGGGAAGCGUUUGACACCAGUGUUGUUUUCUCGAAAAUCAAUUAAAAAAAGGCCGGAUUUUGUGUUGUAUUGACUUUAUCAGCUUUCUGCACUUUUUUCUUGUCUUUUUAAUACACUUUUCGUUUAACAAGUCAACAUCAAUUUCUUUUGUUGUAAAAGGGUCAUUGGAGGUGGCUUUCUUUUCGGAGAAAGGUGUUUAUAGCCUUUGGCCUCUGCAAUCGGAGAGAUUGAGGUCUGCAGCGUAGAUCCUUCGGGGUUAGAUACAUUUGUGCUAAGUUAUAGCCUUUCAUAGACAACUUGUUGACUAUGAUCAGUCAUGUAGCUUACUCGCUUAUGCUAUUUUACCUACGCUUAGGAUGUUGAG
rnacentral:misc_RNA from 1 species